ACAGUUCGUGAGGUUUUGGCCCUCGCAAAAGCCAAUAACCCCAAGCUUGUCUUUCUAUGUGAAACAAGGCAAGCUACUGAGAAAGUAGAGAAGCUGCGAUGGAGACUCGAUCUGAAGGGUUUUCAUGGAGUGAGUAGUGAUGGAAGAAGUGGAGGCUUAGCACUUUUCUGGGAUGAGUCCCUUUCCGUCACGGUGAUUGAUUCUUGUAAUCAUUUUAUUGAUGUUAGGAUUGUCGAUGGUGGGUCAAGCACUUCUUGGUGAGGCACCUUUGUCUAUGGGGAGCCUCGGGUUGAAAAUCGAUAUCGCAUG
rnacentral:rRNA from 1 species